UGUCCAGUAGCACCUUAUAGACCAACUAAGUUUGUUCUUGGUAUAAGCUUUCGUGUACGAAGAAGUGUGCAUGCACGCAAAAACUUAUACCAAGAACAAACUUAGUUGGUCUCUAAGGUGCUACUGGACA
rnacentral:miRNA from 1 species